GAUGAACGCUGGCGGCGUGCUUAACACAUGCAAGUCGAACGGAAAGGCCCAAGCUUGCUUGGGUCCUCGAGUGGCGAACGGGUGAGUAACACGUGGGUGAUCUGCCCUGCACUUCGGGAUAAGCCUGGGAAACUGGGUCUAAUACCGGAUAGGACCACUUCUUGGAUGUUGUGGUGGAAAGUUUUUUCGUUGUGGGAUGAGCUCGCGGCCUAUCAGCUUGUUGGUGGGGUAAUGGCCUACCCAGGCGUCGACGGGUAGCCGGCCUGAGAGGGUGUACGGCCACAUUGGGACUGAGAGACGGCCCAGACUCCUACGGGAGGCAGCAGUGGGGAAGAUUGCACAAUGGGCGCAAGCCUGAUGCAGCGACGCCGCGGGGGGGAGGACGGCCUUCGGGUUGUAAACUCCGUUCGCUAGGGACGAAGCGUUUUGUGACGGUACCUGGAGAAGAAGCACCGGCUAACUACGUG
rnacentral:rRNA from 1 species